rnacentral:rRNA from 1 species
AGAGUUUUUUCCUGGCUCAGGAUGAACGCUGGCGGCGUGCCUAACACAUGCAAGUCGAACGAAGCUGAGAGGAGCUUGCUUUUCUCAGCUUAGUGGCGAACGGGUGAGUAACGCGUGAGUAACCUGCCCUGGAGUGGGGGACAACAGUUGGAAACGACUGCUAAUACCGCAUAAGCCCACGGCCCGGCAUCGGGCUGCGGGAAAAGGAUUUAUUCGCUUCAGGAUGGACUCGCGUCCAAUUAGCUAGUUGGUGAGGUAACGGCCCACCAAGGCGACGAUUGGUAGCCGGACUGAGAGGUUGAACGGCCACAUUGGGACUGAGACACGGCCCAGACUCCUACGGGAGGCAGCAGUGGGGGAUAUUGCACAAUGGGGGAAACCCUGAUGCAGCGACGCCGCGUGGAGGAAGAAGGUUUUCGGAUUGUAAACUCCUGUCGUUAGGGACGAUAAUGACGGUACCUAACAAGAAAGCACCGGCUAACUACGUGCCAGCAGCCGCGGUAAAACGUAGGGUGCAAGCGUUGUCCGGAAUUACUGGGUGUAAAGGGAGCGCAAGCGGACCGGCAAGUUGGAAGUGAAAAACUAUGGGCUCAACCCAUAAAUUGCUUUCAAAACUGCUGGCCUUGAGUAGUGCAGAGGUAGGUGGAAUUCCCCGGUGUAGCGGUGGAAUGCGUAGAUAUCGGGAGGAACACCAGUGGCGAAGGCGACCUACUGGGCACCAACUGACGCUGAGGCUCGAAAGCAUGGGUAGCAAACAGGAUUAGAUACCCUGGUAGUCCAUGCCGUAAACGAUGAUUACUAGGUGUUGGAGGAUUGACCCCUUCAGUGCCGCAGUUAACACAAUAAGUAAUCCACCUGGGGAGUACGACCGCAAGGUUGAAACUCAAAGGAAUUGACGGGGGCCCGCACAAGCAGUGGAGUAUGUGGUUUAAUUCGAAGCAACGCGAAGAACCUUACCAGGUCUUGACAUCCGAUGCAUAGUGCAGAGAUGCAUGAAGUCCUUCGGGACAUCGAGACAGGUGGUGCAUGGUUGUCGUCAGCUCGUGUCGUGAGAUGUUGGGUUAAGUCCCGCAACGAGCGCAACCCUUAUUGCCAGUUACUACGAAAGAGGACUCUGGCGAGACUGCCGUUGACAAAACGGAGGAAGGUGGGGAUGACGUCAAAUCAUCAUGCCCUUUAUGACCUGGGCUACACACGUACUACAAUGGCGUUUAACAAAGAGAAGCAAGACCGCGAGGUGGAGCAAAACUCAAAAACAACGUCUCAGUUCAGAUUGCAGGCUGCAACUCGCCUGCAUGAAGUCGGAAUUGCUAGUAAUCGCGGAUCAGCAUGCCGCGGUGAAUACGUUACCGGGCCUUGCACUCACCGCCCGUCA